ensembl:lncRNA
UUUGUGUUUAACGUGAGACAGGAAAUGAGCAAAGCAGAAGAAGAGCAGGUGUGCAUCAACAUUCACUCAGUCAUGUGUCACGGGUUAAGAAACAAACCAGUCGAGGGUAACGAGGGUAACGUACCUCUGAGGCAGCAGAACGGACGCUUUAGGAAAAGCUCCUCUGCAGCAGUGUGUUUGGAUCAGUGAGCAGAGAGAAAACAUCCACACUGAGCAUGCUCAGCUGGGACACGGGGUGACGAUGACAGCUGUCGGCCUUUUAUGGCUGAAGGUCUACCGCCGAGUCCAGAACCCACCAAGCCCGCACACAAGCAGAGACUGCCCACGCUUUGGGUUACCGUGGAAACAGCUCCAGGACUGCCGGGUCUCGUGGGAACCAAAGGAUUAUGGGUCAGCAUCGUCCUCGGCUCUUCUUCCUCUUCCUCCAACUUCAAACCAAGCAACCCCGCCGACCAGAGAGCCAAGUAGAUGAAACAAGCACACCGUUCCUCUGCGUUCCUCUGAACGUCCACACUCAAUAACAGGGCGGCGAUCCCCUGGGGACAGGCUCCUCCUCCUCUGAGCUCACUGUAGCAGGCAACGAACCACAGAGCGACCCUCCAGAACCACGAGCAGGGCGUGGCUAAAAAAAAAAAUGGCUCCAGUUCCUCAAACCAAAGCGUGAACUCGUUCCUGAUUGGUUUAUGGUUUUGUUGCUGUUUUCAGGUGUCAGUGAAUAAAACGUGAAACUGGUGAAGUGAUGGUGAUGUUAGAGCAGGGCGCCCGGAUGAAGAGCCCCACACGGCCACAGAAGCUCGUUUCACUUCCUCUUUUAGUUCCUGUGAUAUUUGAGGCCACAUGUGCGAACUGUGACGAGGGCUUUAAUCUAAACGUUCUGACUGCAUGUGUGACGAUUAUCACACUAAUUUCACACGCGUGUUCUUUAAACUGCAUUCAGUGAUGUUUGAUUUACUGUUUUGUGGGCGUCUUCGUUUUCACCUCCUAAAUAAACGGCGCUCGGUCCCUGUGCAUGCUGCAGGCCGGGACCACUUCAGUAUAUGUCAGAGAACAUGACGCAUGCUAAUCUGCAGGCAGUUCAUAGAUGCAGUGACAGGUGUCUACAGGUGUGCGGAGACAGGUAGAUUUACCUGCUGCAUCGGGUUGAUGCUGAUAUUUCAUCACGGCCUCCGGAGUGAGCUUUAUGUCUCAAUCUGCUCCAACAAUGAAAUCAAAUAAAGUGCAACAGCUGAGCGAGCUUUCAUUCAGCAAUAAAGCUACACAACAUGGGGCGCUCAUUUACAAACACCAGUCGAACUGAAGUUUCACACUUUGUUUGGUAGAAAAAAAUCAAAUUGUUGCUUAAAUUUUCACAAAAUGUCAGAAUCUGCACGUCAUGAACAAAAAUUUAAAGCUAAUUUUUCAGGAUUUGUUGGGUUCAUCCUCUGGGGGCCGCGAUGUCAUUUGUAUUUCACCUCUUUCCCCUCCUCGCCGUGUUUGGUCUCAUUCUCUUCAGCUCAGCCUCACGUGUCUGAAUUUACACUGAUUGUUUCACGGACAUGUUGUAGAAACACAACUGAUCUGAAAUCACACAAAAACAUAAAAUCCUCGUAGUAGUUAUAUUUGUUUACUGUUAAAAGCACAAACAUGUUUAGUGAAUGAUUUUCAAAACUUGAAAUGCAAAUAUAAACUGAAAACCUAAGCACAAAGUUUGUAAACAAUAAAGUCAUAAACAAAUAUUUAUCUAAAAACACAGCCAAUGGAUCUGGUGGGUUUA